rnacentral:rRNA from 1 species
AGCGAACGCUGGCGGCAGGCCUAACACAUGCAAGUCGAGCGCCCCGCAAGGGGAGCGGCAGACGGGAGAGUAACACGUGGGAACGUGCCCUUCAGUUCGGAACAACCCAGGGAAACUUGGGCUAAUACCGGAUACGUCCGUAAGGAGAAAGAUUUAUCGCUGAAGGAGCGGCCCGCGUCUGAUUAGCUAGUUGGUGGGGUAACGGCCCACCAAGGCGACGAUCAGUAGCUGGUCUGAGAGGAUGAUCAGCCUCACUGGGACUGAGACACGGCCCAGACUCCUACGGGAGGCAGCAGUGGGGAAUAUUGGACAAUGGGCGCAAGCCUGAUCCAGCCAUGCCGCGUGGGUGAUGAAGGCCCUAGGGUUGUAAAGCCCUUUCGGCGGGGAAGAUAAUGACGGUACCCGCAGAAGAAGCCCCGGCUAACUUCGUGCCAGCCGCCGCAGUAA